UUACGGAAGGCGGCAGUAAGGAAUAUUGGACAAUGGUGGCAACACUGAUCCAGCCAUGCCGCGUGCAGGAUGACGGCCCUAUGGGUUGUAAACUGCUUUUGUACGGGAAAAAACCCUCGUUCGUGAACGAGGCUGAUGGUACCGUAAGAAUAAGGAUCGGCUAACUCCGUGCCAGCAGCCGCGGUAAUACGGAGGAUCCAAGCGUUAUCCGGAUUUAUUGGGUUUAAAGGGUGCGUAGGCGGAUUAAUAAGUCAGUGGUGAAAGCCUACAGCUUAACUGUAGAAUUGCCAUUGAUACUGUUAGUCUUGAGUAUAUUUGAAGUGGGCGGAAUGUGCAGUGUAGCGGUGAAAUGCUUAGAUAUUGCACAGAACACCGAUUGCGAAGGCAGCUCACUAAACUAUAACUGACGCUGAGGCACGAAAGUAUGGGGAUCAAACAGGAUUAGAAACUCUAGUAGUCC
rnacentral:rRNA from 1 species